rnacentral:sRNA from 1 species
AUUUAGCCCUGAUCGAAGCGAUAUCCUUUUGUCGUGGGUUUCACGACAAAAGAUAUAGUGUAGAGCAGGAAAGGUG